CCUACGGGAGGCAGCAGUGGGGAAUAUUGGGCAAUGGGCGCAAGCCUGACCCAGCAACGCCGCGUGAAGGAAGAAGGCUUUCGGGUUGUAAACUUCUUUUCUCAGGGACGAAGCAAGUGACGGUACCUGAGGAAUAAGCCACGGCUAACUACGUGCCAGCAGCCGCGGUAAUACGUAGGUGGCAAGCGUUAUCCGGAUUUACUGGGUGUAAAGGGCGUGUAGGCGGGACUGCAAGUCAGAUGUGAAAACCAUGGGCUCAACCUAUGGCCUGCAUUUGAAACUGUAGUUCUUGAGUACUGGAGAGGCAGACAGAAUUCCAAGGGUAGCGGUGAAAUGCGUAGAGAUUAGGAGGAACACCAGUGGCGAAGGCGGUCUGCUGGACAGCAACUGACGCUGAGGCGCGAAAGCGUGGGGAGCAAACAGGAUUAGAUACCCUUGUAGUC
rnacentral:rRNA from 1 species